rnacentral:SRP_RNA from 1 species
GAGCCGGUCUCGCGCAAUGGAUGCCCACGAAUCAUGUCAGGCGGGGAACCGAGCAGCAUUAAGAGGGAUCACCAUGUGCCGCGAGGGUGCCGGUUCUGU